rnacentral:lncRNA from 1 species
ACUGAUGCUAUUAGGUAAGCAAAACAGAACAACUAAAAAACGUAGAAACCGGCUAUUUAUAUUUUAUAUAUCAAACGUUAAUAGUUUCUUUUGAUUACUAAAUUUACGGCUCUAUAAUUUUGGUUUGAUAGAGUACCAUUAUUUUAUCAAGUUGGCCAAAGAAACUAAAUUUUAGCUAAAUUAUUGCGUAGGAAAAGGUUAAAAAGAUUGUUUUGAUCAAAUUGCAACAGAAUUAUACAAAAUUAAAUUCCUAAACAUGGUUUUUGAAUGAAAUUUAUUUUUAACUGGUUAUUUUUAAACUAAACCAGACUAUUUUAUAAUAAAGAAUGAAUUGAAUAAAAAAUACCAAAAUGACAAAUAUGUUGUCGGUCUUCAACUCAAUUCAUGAGAACACAUUACAAACCAAAUAAAAUCAAAUACCAAAGAUUUUUUUAAGAGAACCACAAUCUAAAGUUUGCUUUAAAUCAUAUAAACUGGGCCAUCAAUCUGUAAAUUGAAAAACAAUACUUUAUCUCAAAGACCUGACUCU